UCACAACUCUUUCUGUAGCUCUUUACUCCUGUGUUUCUGGAAGCUUGUAAAGUUUCUUUUGGGCCAUCUUUUCUUUUUCCAUUAUUUCAUCCCAUUUCCUGAAAAAUCUCUCUUGUCCCAAUGACCUUCUUUAUAUUUAAGAUGCAUCACUCUGCUUCUGCCACGAUAAUGCCUGUGGCUCCGGGAAACUUGUACUUACAGGUGUGAUGCUCAAGGCCCUUCAUUGCUCCAAACUCAUGCCUUGCGACCAUCUCCGUGGAGUGCCUGCCUGUACUUCCUGGGCUUUCUCUAAGUCCUUGCUGUGGAAUUCAUUUCCGUCUUGCCUGUCAUUGCAUCAUAGCUCUCUGGGCCUCAGCUCCUGGUUUCUGUUCCGUUGCUUCCGGGAUUUCAUAUUUCAUCGGCCAUUAUCUCCAGGAACCCCAGGAUGUUCUCCCUCUAUUCUUCUUAAGCUAACAUCCUGUGGAAUGGCAGAUACAUUUCCACUUGACUCGACCCAGAGAUUGUCUUUGCACUCAAGACUCUCUGCUCCAGUGUGUAAAAACUAUGCACCCAGUUCGGGUCAGUCUUCGCUUUCCAAGUGAGGGUCGUCUCCGGAUCAGAAGUAAUUUCAUAGGUGGGUUUGUCUUUUCUCAUUUGUACUUUCUUCUUUUCCUUUUUCUCUGAAAGUUGCUAAUGAGUUUGAGGUAUAACAGCACAUUGUGGGAGAAAGAAAGAGAGGAAGGGUGAGUUAGGUUGAUUUUGGGUGAGCCCAGAGGGGCCCUUGGCUGUCCCUGCCCAGAUCUCUUUACAGACAGGCCAAGUGCUCCAAGAGGAUGGGCCUGGCUCGAAACCACCCAGUAAUUCCUCUUUAUCUCUUCCUUCUCUCCUCUUUCCCCACAGCCUGGCUCCGUGGAGGGAGCGGAGGAGAAGGAGCGCUUUGCAGCAAAUGCCCAUGCUGGCCUUAUGGUACCUGCCUUGCUCUGCUGCCCAUGCCUGCCUGUCUUUGUUUAUUUCUAUUGCUUUUUUUUUCCCCUCCUUUAAACAAAAUUUGAACUUUUCUCUGCCCUGCCUUUCUCUCCUGUCUGCCUUUUUAUGGUUGAUGUUGUAUUGUCUCUUCUAAAGGAUGCCAUUAAAAAUCACACCUAGUGUGUGCUUUUAGCAUGCCGAUGUUCUCCUUGUGUUGCCCUCCUUGUCUUUGAAAUUUUCCUAAGGAAUACUUUAGAGUCUUCAUGGUAAAUCUCUCUCUCUCUCUUUUUUUUUUUCUCCUCAGUCCAGCCAUUUCAAGGACUAAGACAGUCUUACGUUAAAGUAAAAAAACGGUGACCAGCACUCCAGGGAAGACUAGGAACAGAAAACCCAAAAAGGAUUUAGCCAAUCAAUCUGAGAACAAAGCAGACUCUGCAAUGGCCUUAGCUUCUUACCACAUAAGAAGUUCAUUCAAUGAAGAAAAUGUCACUGGCCUCUCAUCCACUCACUGACUCUGGGGUGUGGUUGAACCAUUUGAGGGCCUGACUCUCCCUUUUGUUAUCUCAAGUUGGACAAAAGCUGCUGUUGUGAACUUAGUCUCAGGUGUCAAUAUCCUGUCCUCUGCCACCAGAGAGUUGUCUGGUGAGUGUGGUACAUGUGUGUGUGUCCCUGUGAUGGCAAUCAUGUUUGCUGCUGGCCUCCAGAAGAGUUGAGGAUCUGAUGGAGAUAUCUUAGGUAUUUAUUUUUUGUUCAACCUUGUGACCCUGACUCGCAGUUUAUAAAGAUGAAAGAGAUGAACAUCCCACCAGUGGUACCCUCCAUCUUCAGGUAUGAUUUGGUACAAUCAGCUUCACUUUCCUCUUGUUAAUCCUGUUGUGAUGUUCACUGUGUGAAGUACCCAAGCUGCUUGUUUUUCACCAAAGAGUGCUUUAUUAACAACCUGUGAACACUGCAUUUAAACACUGUUGUAUGUUGUUGUGGUUACUGAAAACCUGCUAGGAAAUGUUGAGAAUGUUGGAACCCUUUCUCAGUUACCUGGUUCCUACAAAUCCUUCCUUGUGUCAUUUUAGGAUGAAGAUUUCAGAGCUGGGAUGUUGUUGGGUUGCUCAGCCACGUUAUAAUUGUGUUUACUUCAUUACAUCAAAACCAAACAUCAACCCUAGCAUUUUCCUUUGGGAAAGCAUCCUAAAUAAUGGUGGCUUUAACAACAAAAUUGUGAGCCUUGCUGUAUUGGCGCACGCCUUGAAUCCCAGCAUUGGGAGGCAGAGGCAGGUGGAUCUCCAGGUGGAGUUCCAGGCCAGCCAAUGAUACACAAGGAAAUCCUGUCUCAAAAAUAAAACAAAGCAAAACAAAAAAACCAAACCCAAAAUCCCAAAAUUGUUAACCCUUUGUAGAGUCUUUCUCUGUAACGCUGUGGAGUUUUUUCCUUGUGAUCCACAGUUUGAUUUUAGUGACAAUCACUUGCUUCUGGAGUUAGGCUGUUUGUGUAAGAGAUCUCACUGUUGCCUUUGGUUAGGGAAUAUGACUAGAAACUGUAGUGUGCCUUUUCUCUUCACCCUGCUGGAAGCCAGCAGCACCCGUGCCAUGAAGCAAUUGCAAAACCAGAAUUUAUCUGCUGCC
rnacentral:lncRNA from 1 species